CCAUAGAGACAGCGCCAGGGCAAGCGAGAGCCGGACGGGCACUGGGCGACUCUGUGCCUCUCGGAGGAAAAUCAACUAAACAUGGGCAAAGGAGAUCCUAAGAAGCCUAGAGGCAAAAUGUCCUCAUAUGCAUUCUUUGUGCAAACUUGCUGGGAGGAGCACAAGAAGAAGCACCCGGAUGCUUCUGUCAACUUCUCAGAGUUCUCCAAGAAGUGCUCAGAGAGGUGGAAGACCAUGUCUGCUAAAGAAAAGGGGAAAUUUGAAGAUACGGCAAAGGCUGACAAGGCUCGUUAUGAAAGAGAAAUGAAAACCUACAUCCCCUCCAAAGGGGAGACCAAAAAGAAGUUCAAGGACCUCAAUGCACCCAAGAGGCCUCCUUCGGCCUUCUUCUUGUUCUGUUCUGAGUACCGCCCUAAAAUCAAAGGCGAGCAUCCUGGCUUAUCCAUUGGUGAUGUUGCAAAGAAACUAGGAGAGAUGUGGAACAAUACUGCAGCUGAUGACAAGCAGCCCUAUGAGAAGAAGGCUGCCAAGCUGAAGAAGUACGAGAAGGAUAUUGCUGCCUACAGAGCUAAAGGAAAACCUGAUGCAGCGAAAAAGGGGGUGGUCAAGGCUGAAAAGAGCAAGAAAAAGAAGGAAGAGGAAGAUGAUGAGGAGGAUGAAGAGGAUGAGGAAGAGGAGGAGGAGGAGGAGGAGGAAGACAAAGAUGAAGAAGAUGAUGAUGAUGAAUAAGUUGGUUCUAGCGCAGUUUUUUUUUCUUGUCUAUAAAGCAUUUAACCCCCCUGUACACAACUCACUCCUUUUAAAGAAAAAAAUUGAAAUGUAAGGCUGUGUAAGAUUUGUUUUUAAACUGUACAGUGUCUUUUUUUGUAUAGUUAACACACUACCGAAUAUGUCUUUAGAUAGCCCUGUCCUGGUGGUAUUUUCAAUAGCCACUAACCUUGCCUGGUACAGUCUGGGGGUUGUAAAUUGGCAUGGAAAUUUAAAGCAGGUUCUUGUUGGUGCACAGCACCAACAAGUUAUAUAUGGGGACAGUAGUUUGGUUUUUGUUUUGUUUUGUUUUGUUUUUUGCCUUUUGGUUUUACUUUUGGGUUGUUUUUUUUUUCAUCUUCAGUUGUCUCUGAUGCAGCUUAUACGAAGAUAAUUGUUGUUCUGUUAACUGAAUACCACUCUGUAAUUGCAAAAAAAAAUUGCGGCUGUUUUGUUGACAUUCUAAAUGCUUCUAAGUAAACACAAUUUUUUUUAUUA